ensembl:lncRNA
CCCUCCUUCCUGCCCCCCCCCUUCCCUCCCAUUUGUUCGCAUUGCUGCCAGGGCUGCGUGUCACAGCGUGCGCAGCGUGUCACGUGUGCGGUGUGUCAUGUGUGUGCCGUGUGUGCCAUGUGCUGCAUGUCACAGCAUGUGCUGCGUGUCACGUGUGUGCUGUGUGUCAUGUGUGUGCUGCAUGUCACAGUGCGUGCGCCGUGUCACGUGUGUGCAGCGUGUCACGUGUGCUGUGUGUGCCGUGUGCUGCAUGUCACGGUGUGUACCGCAUGUGCCGUGCCUCAUCACUGUGUGCUGCGUGUCACGUGUGUGCUGCGUGUGCCAUGCGCUGUGUCACAGCGUGUGCUGCGUGUGCCGUGUGCUGCAUGUCACAGCGUGUGCUGCGUGUGCCAUGUGCUGCAUGUCACAGCGUGUGCUGCGUGUGCCGUGCACCGUGUGCUGCGUGCCACAACACCCGCGUGCCGUGUGUUGCGUGCUGUGUGCUGUGUGCUGCACGCCAUGCAUUGCGUGCCGCGUGCCGUGCACCGUGUGCGCCGUGCUGUGCCGCGUGCUGUGUGUCACACGCAGAUCCGUGCGCCGUUCCGUGUGCUGUUCUGUGUGCCGUGCGCCGUUCCAUGCGUGCUCUUCUGUGUGCUGCUCCAUGCACCAGUCCCUGUGCACCAGUCCAUGCACCAUUCCAUGCACUGUUCCAUGUGCACCAUUCCAUGUGCACCAUUCAGUGUGCACCAUUCCAUGUGCAGCAUUCCAUGUGCAGUGUUCCAUGUGCACCAUUCCAUGCACCGUUCCAUGCACCGUUCCAUGCACCAUUCUAUGCACCAUUCCCUGUGCACCAUUCCAUGUGCACCAUUUCAUGUGCACCGUUCCGUGUGCACCGUUCCACGUGCACCGUUCCAUGCCAUUCCGUGUGCACGGUUCCGUGCACGGUUCCGUGUUGCACCCCUUGACCUCUCUCCUCUCUCCCCUCCACAGCACUGGUGCAAAAAGGUGGGUGUGAGAGCACAUGUGUGUGAGAGCACGUGUGUGUAAGAGCACGUGUGUGUGAGAGCACGUGUGUGAGUGUACAUGUGUGAGUGCACAUGUGUUUGGGAGGGUGCGUGUGUGUGAGUGCAGGCAUGUGUGAGUGCAUGUGUGUGUGAAAGCACAUGUGUCUGAGUGCACGUGUGUGAGCAUGUGUGUGUGAGUGCAUGUGUGAGUGCACAUGUGUGUGAGUGUACGUGAGUGCAUGUGUGUGUGAGAACGUGUCUAAUUGCAUGUGUGUGAGAGUAUGUGCGUGAGAGCACAUAUGUGAUAGCACGUGUGUCUGAGUGCACGUGUGUGUAAAAGCAUGUGUGUGUGAGAGCACAUGUGAGAGCACAUGUGUGUGAAUGCAUGUGUGUGAGUGUGUGUGUGGGUGAGCACGUGUCUGCGCAUGUGUGAGUGCACAUGUGUGUGAGUGCACAUGUGUGAGUGCACAUGUGUGUGAGUGCACAUGUGUGAGUGCACGUGUGUGUGAGAGCACAUAUGUGGGUGCACACAUGUGAGUGUGUGAAUCCAUGUGUGUGAGAGCACAUGUGUGUGUGCAUGUGUGUCUGUGUGUGUGUGAGUGCAUGUCUGAAUGCAUGUGUGUGAGUGCACACACGUGUGCGAGUACCCAUCUGUGUGUGUGUGCUCACGUGUGCGUGUGAGUGCAUGCGUCUGUACAUGCAUGUGUGUGCGCACAUGUGUGUGAGUGCACACGUGUGUGUGAGUGCACGUGUGAGUGCGUACAUAUGUGUGUGUGUGUGUGUGUGUGUUCAUGUAUGUAAGUGCACAUGUAUGUGUGCACGUGUGUGAGUGUGCGUGUGCCCCCCAUGUCACACCUCACCCUGCACUACAAUAGGGGCAGCUGUGGGGCACACUGGGAUCUGUGGGGCACACCUGGGGUCUAUGGGGCACACUGGGAUCUGUGGGGAUCUGUGGGGCACACUGGGAUCUGUGGGGCUCAAUGGGAUCUGUGGGGCACACUGACAUCUAUGGGGCUCAGUGGAAUCUGUGGGGCACACUGGGA